rnacentral:rRNA from 1 species
AUUGAACGCUGGCGGCAUGCCUUACACAUGCAAGUCGAACGGCAGCACGGGUGCUUGCACCUGGUGGCGAGUGGCGAACGGGUGAGUAAUACAUCGGAACGUGCCCAGUCGUGGGGGAUAACACAGCGAAAGCUGUGCUAAUACCGCAUACGUCCUGAGGGAGAAAGCGGGGGGACCGUAAGGCCUCGCGCGAUUGGAGCGGCCGAUGUCUGAUUAGCUAGUUGGUGAGGUAAAGGCUCACCAAGGCGACGAUCAGUAGCUGGUCUGAGAGGAUGAUCAGCCACACUGGAACUGAGACACGGUCCAGACUCCUACGGGAGGCAGCAGUGGGGAAUUUUGGACAAUGGGCGAAAGCCUGAUCCAGCCAUUCCGCGUGAGUGAAGAAGGCCUUCGGGUUG